rnacentral:lncRNA from 1 species
GACUUGAUGCUCUUUAGAUAUCUUUUUUUGAGCUCAAUCUUCCUCCUACUAACACUAUCUUGGAUGAACUCUUUUUUUAAAAAGAUGGCAUGAUGGCUCACAAUCAUAUUAUGAUCCUCUGAAAGAUAGAAAUAGUACCCCAUAAAUUUCUUAAGAUAUCCUAUAAAACGAGCCUUAAGUGACCUAGCCUCUAACUUAUCCAUCUGCUGUCACUCGACAUGGGUUGGACAUUCCCAA